CAGUAGCCACGGGAAUACGUAGGUGGCAGGCGUUGUCCGGAAUUAUUGGGCGUAAAGGGCUCGCAGGCGGUUUCUUAAGUCUGAUGUGAAAGCCCCCGGCUCAACCGGGGAGGGUCAUUGGAAACUGGGAAACUUGAGUGCAGAAGAGGAGAGUGGAAUUCCACGUGUAGCGGUGAAAUGCGUAGAGAUGUGGAGGAACACCAGUGGCGAAGGCGACUCUCUGGUCUGUAACUGACGCUGAGGAGCGAAAGCGUGGGGAGCGAACAGGAUUAGAUACCCGUGUAGUCCCUGUCUCUUAUAA
rnacentral:rRNA from 1 species